rnacentral:rRNA from 1 species
GUGGGGAAUAUUGGACAAUGGGGGAAACCCUGAUCCAGCCAUGCCGCGUGUGUGAAGAAGGCCUUUUGGUUGUAAAGCACUUUAAGCAGUGAAGAAGACUCUUCGGUUAAUACCCGGAGACGAUGACAUUAGCUGCAGAAUAAGCACCGGCUAACUCUGUGCCAGCAGCCGCGGUAAUACAGAGGGUGCAAGCGUUAAUCGGAAUUACUGGGCGUAAAGCGAGCGUAGGUGGCUUGAUAAGUCAGAUGUGAAAUCCCCGGGCUUAACCUGGGAACUGCAUCUGAAACUGUUAGGCUAGAGUAGGUGAGAGGGAAGUAGAAUUUCAGGUGUAGCGGUGAAAUGCGUAGAGAUCUGAAGGAAUACCGAUGGCGAAGGCAGCUUCCUGGCAUCAUACUGACACUGAGGCUCGAAAGCGUGGGUAGCAAACAGGAUUAGAUACCCUAGUAGUCC